rnacentral:rRNA from 1 species
GAUGGACGCUGGCGGCGUGCCUAAUACAUGCAAGUCGAGCGAAUGGAUUAAGAGCUUGCUCUUAUGAAGUUAGCGGCGGACGGGUGAGUAACACGUGGGUAACCAGCCCAUAAUACUGGGAUAACUCCGGGAAACCGGGGCUAAUACCGGAUAACAUUUUGAACCGCAUGGUUCGAAAUUGAAAGGCGGCUUCGGCUGUCACUUAUGGAUGGACCCGCGUCGCAUUAGCUCGUUGGUGAGGUAACGGCUCACCAAGGCAACGAUGCGUAGCCGACCUGAGAGGGUGAUCGGCCACACUGGGACGGAGACACGGCCCAGACUCCUACGGGAGGCAGCAGUAGGGAAUCUUCCGCAAUGGACGAAAGUCUGACGGAGCAACGCCGCGUGAGUGAUGAAGGCUUUCGGGUCGUAAAACUCUGUUGUUAGGGAAGAACAAGUGCUAGUUGAAUAAGCUGACACCUUGACGGUACCUAACCAGAAAGCCACGGCUAACUACGUGCCAGCCGCCGCGGUAA